rnacentral:rRNA from 1 species
AUUGAACGCUGGCGGCAGGCUUAACACAUGCAAGUCGAGCGGGGGAAGGUAGCUUGCUACCGGACCUAGCGGCGGACGGGUGAGUAAUGCUUAGGAAUCUGCCUAUUAGUGGGGGACAACAUCUCGAAAGGGAUGCUAAUACCGCAUACGUCCUACGGGAGAAAGCAGGGGAUCUUCGGACCUUGCGCUAAUAGAUGAGCCUAAGUCGGAUUAGCUAGUUGGUGGGGUAAAGGCCUACCAAGGCGACGAUCUGUAGCGGGUCUGAGAGGAUGAUCCGCCACACUGGGACUGAGACACGGCCCGGACUCCGCCGGGAGGCAGCAGUGGGGUAUAUUGGACAAUGGGGGGAACCCUGAUCCAGCCAUGCCGCGUGUGUGAAGAAGGCCUUAUGGUUGUAAAGCACUUUAAGCGAGGAGGAGGCUACUUUAGUUAAUACCUAAAGAUAGUGGACGUUACUCGCAGAAUAAGCACCGGCUAACUCUGUGCCAGCCGCCGCCGUAA